GAUAUUGCACAAUGGGCGCAAGCCUGAUGCAGCAACGCCGCGUGCAUGAUGAAGGCCUUCGGGUCGUAAAAUGCUUUUCUGGCUGAGGAACAAUGACUGUAGGUCAGGAAUAAGUGUCGGCUAACUACGUGCCAGCAGCCGCGGUAAAACGUAGGACGCAAGCGUUAUCCGGAGUUACUGGGCGUAAAGCGCGGGCAGGCGGUUCUGCCAGUCUGAUGUGAAAUCUCCCGGCUCAACCGGGAGCAGCCAUUGGAAACUACAGAACUGGAGUCUGGCAGAGGUAGGCGGAAUUCCGGGUGGAGUGGUGAAAUGCGUAGAGAUCCGGAGGAACACCAGAGGCGAAGGCGGCCUACUGGGCCAGUACUGACGCUGAGCCGCGAAAGCCAGGGGAGCGAAC
rnacentral:rRNA from 1 species